AGUGAACGCUGGCGGUAGGCCUAACACAUGCAAGUCGAACGGCAGCACAGUAAGAGCUUGCUCUUACGGGUGGCGAGUGGCGGACGGGUGAGGAAUACAUCGGAAUCUACUUUUUCGUGGGGGAUAACGUAGGGAAACUUACGCUAAUACCGCAUACGACCUACGGGUGAAAGCAGGGGAUCUUCGGACCUUGCGCGAUUGAAUGAGCCGAUGUCGGAUUAGCUAGUUGGCGGGGUAAAGGCCCACCAAGGCGACGAUCCGUAGCUGGUCUGAGAGGAUGAUCGGCCACACUGGAGCUGAGACACGGUCCAGACUCCUACGGGAGGCAGCAGUGGGGAAUAUUGGACAAUGGGCGGAAGCCUGAUCCAGCCAUACCGCGUGGGUGAAGAAGGCCUUCGGGUUGUAAAGCCCUUUUGUUGGGAAAGAAAAGCAGCAGGUUAAGACCCCGCGGUUCUGACGGUACCCAAAGAAUAAGCACCGGCUAACUUCGUG
rnacentral:rRNA from 1 species